GGGUUGUGAGGUUAAGCGACUAAGCGUACACGGUGGAUGCCCUGGCAGUCAGAGGCGAUGAAGGACGUGCUAAUCUGCGAUAAGCGUCGGUAAGGUGAUAUGAACCGUUAUAACCGGCGAUUUCCGAAUGGGGAAACCCAGUGUGAUUCGUCACACUAUCAUUAACUGAAUCCAUAGGUUAAUGAGGCGAACCGGGGGAACUGAAACAUCUAAGUACCCCGAGGAAAAGAAAUCAACCGAGAUUCCCCCAGUAGCGGCGAGCGAACGGGGAGGAGCCCAGAGCCUGAAUCAGUGUGUGUGUUAGUGGAAGCGUCUGGAAAGGCGCGCGAUACAGGGUGACAGCCCCGUACACAAAAAUGCACAUGCUGUGAGCUCGAUGAGUAGGGCGGGACACGUGGUAUCCUGUCUGAAUAUGGGGGGACCAUCCUCCAAGGCUAAAUACUCCUGACUGACCGAUAGUGAACCAGUACCGUGAGGGAAAGGCGAAAAGAACCCCGGCGAGGGGAGUGAAAAAGAACCUGAAACCGUGUACGUACAAGCAGUGGGAGCCUCUUUUAUGGGGUGACUGCGUACCUUUUGUAUAAUGGGUCAGCGACUUAUAUUCUGUAGCAAGGUUAACCGAAUAGGGGAGCCGAAGGGAAACCGAGUCUUAACUGGGCGUUAAGUUGCAGGGUAUAGACCCGAAACCCGGUGAUCUAGCCAUGGGCAGGUUGAAGGUUGGGUAACACUAACUGGAGGACCGAACCGACUAAUGUUGAAAAAUUAGCGGAUGACUUGUGGCUGGGGGUGAAAGGCCAAUCAAACCGGGAGAUAGCUGGUUCUCCCCGAAAGCUAUUUAGGUAGCGCCUCGUGAAUUCAUCUCCGGGGGUAGAGCACUGUUUCGGCAAGGGGGUCAUCCCGACUUACCAACCCGAUGCAAACUGCGAAUACCGGAGAAUGUUAUCACGGGAGACACACGGCGGGUGCUAACGUCCGUCGUGAAGAGGGAAACAACCCAGACCGCCAGCUAAGGUCCCAAAGUCAUGGUUAAGUGGGAAACGAUGUGGGAAGGCCCAGACAGCCAGGAUGUUGGCUUAGAAGCAGCCAUCAUUUAAAGAAAGCGUAAUAGCUCACUGGUCGAGUCGGCCUGCGCGGAAGAUGUAACGGGGCUAAACCAUGCACCGAAGCUGCGGCAGCGACACUAUGUGUUGUUGGGUAGGGGAGCGUUCUGUAAGCCUGUGAAGGUGUACUGUGAGGUAUGCUGGAGGUAUCAGAAGUGCGAAUGCUGACAUAAGUAACGAUAAAGCGGGUGAAAAGCCCGCUCGCCGGAAGACCAAGGGUUCCUGUCCAACGUUAAUCGGGGCAGGGUGAGUCGACCCCUAAGGCGAGGCCGAAAGGCGUAGUCGAUGGGAAACAGGUUAAUAUUCCUGUACUUGGUGUUACUGCGAAGGGGGGACGGAGAAGGCUAUGUUGGCCGGGCGACGGUUGUCCCGGUUUAAGCGUGUAGGCUGGUUUUCCAGGCAAAUCCGGAAAAUCAAGGCUGAGGCGUGAUGACGAGGCACUACGGUGCUGAAGCAACAAAUGCCCUGCUUCCAGGAAAAGCCUCUAAGCAUCAGGUAACAUCAAAUCGUACCCCAAACCGACACAGGUGGUCAGGUAGAGAAUACCAAGGCGCUUGAGAGAACUCGGGUGAAGGAACUAGGCAAAAUGGUGCCGUAACUUCGGGAGAAGGCACGCUGAUAUGUAGGUGAAGCGACUUGCUCGUGGAGCUGAAAUCAGUCGAAGAUACCAGCUGGCUGCAACUGUUUAUUAAAAACACAGCACUGUGCAAACACGAAAGUGGACGUAUACGGUGUGACGCCUGCCCGGUGCCGGAAGGUUAAUUGAUGGGGUCAGCGCAAGCGAAGCUCUUGAUCGAAGCCCCGGUAAACGGCGGCCGUAACUAUAACGGUCCUAAGGUAGCGAAAUUCCUUGUCGGGUAAGUUCCGACCUGCACGAAUGGCGUAAUGAUGGCCAGGCUGUCUCCACCCGAGACUCAGUGAAAUUGAACUCGCUGUGAAGAUGCAGUGUACCCGCGGCAAGACGGAAAGACCCCGUGAACCUUUACUAUAGCUUGACACUGAACAUUGAGCCUUGAUGUGUAGGAUAGGUGGGAGGCUUUGAAGUGUGGACGCCAGUCUGCAUGGAGCCGACCUUGAAAUACCACCCUUUAAUGUUUGAUGUUCUAACGUUGACCCGUGAUCCGGGUUGCGGACAGUGUCUGGUGGGUAGUUUGACUGGGGCGGUCUCCUCCUAAAGAGUAACGGAGGAGCACGAAGGUUGGCUAAUCCUGGUCGGACAUCAGGAGGUUAGUGCAAUGGCAUAAGCCAGCUUGACUGCGAGCGUGACGGCGCGAGCAGGUGCGAAAGCAGGUCAUAGUGAUCCGGUGGUUCUGAAUGGAAGGGCCAUCGCUCAACGGAUAAAAGGUACUCCGGGGAUAACAGGCUGAUACCGCCCAAGAGUUCAUAUCGACGGCGGUGUUUGGCACCUCGAUGUCGGCUCAUCACAUCCUGGGGCUGAAGUAGGUCCCAAGGGUAUGGCUGUUCGCCAUUUAAAGUGGUACGCGAGCUGGGUUUAGAACGUCGUGAGACAGUUCGGUCCCUAUCUGCCGUGGGCGCUGGAGAACUGAGGGGGGCUGCUCCUAGUACGAGAGGACCGGAGUGGACGCAUCACUGGUGUUCGGGUUGUCAUGCCAAUGGCACUGCCCGGUAGCUAAAUGCGGAAGAGAUAAGUGCUGAAAGCAUCUAAGCACGAAACUUGCCCCGAGAUGAGUUCUCCCUGACUCCUUGAGAGUCCUGAAGGAACGUUGAAGACGACGACGUUGAUAGGCCGGGUGUGUAAGCGCAGCGAUGCGUUGAGCUAACCGGUACUAAUGAACCGUGAGGCUUAACCUUACAACGCCGAAG
rnacentral:rRNA from 1 species